UCCGUAGGGGGCAAGCGUUGUCCGGAUUUAUUGGGCGUAAAGGGCAUGUAGGCGGCCCGAUAGGUCUGUUGUGAAAACUCGAGGCUCACCCUCGAGACGCCGACGGAAACCAUCUGGCUAGAGUCCGGAAGAGGAGAGUGGAAUUCCUGGUGUAGCGGUGAAAUGCGCAGAUAUCAGGAAGAACACCCGUGGCGAAGGCGGCUCUCUGGGGCGGUCCUGACGCUCAGGCGCGAAAGCUAGGGGAGCAAACAGG
rnacentral:rRNA from 1 species